CAAGUAUUAACCUGUAAAAAACAAAAGCAAAAGUUAAACUGAGCUGAAAUUAUAAAGGCUGUGCUGAAAACACUGAAUCUGUCUUAGAGUGAGAUAUCAUCAGAAAAAAGGAGACCAUGGGCCAGCGCAGCUCUAAACAAUUUAAAGGUUCAGACAGACAACUCGCCCAUUGGGGCCAAUAUCAAGCUGACGAUGUGUUUCAGGAUAAACAGGAAUUUAUGUGGCAGCCUUUUGAUGAGCAGUUGAAAGUUGUUGUGAGCGACAAGCAACAUGUGCGUGCUAUGGAUGGAUCAGAGUACACCAUCAAAGAAGAAUACAAGUGGACCAUAGAAAAACAAUAAGACCACUGAUGAAGAAACAAAGCAGAGAGGAUGAAAUGAUCAAAUUCAAUAUAAAAUUUCCACAACCUGCCAUAAAAUGUGUUGCUUAUUAACAAGUUUUCACGUAAAUUAAAUCAGUAACCUAGUCUUUAAAACAGGAUGUAAAACAUUUUGAAUAAAAUGAGAAGAUUUA